ensembl:lncRNA
UAGCCUCAGUUACGGUCAGUGUACAUGACUCCAGCAUAAGAGACUGGGCAAAAAUGGUCUGCAUGGCAGAGUGCCAAGAUGAAAACCGCUGCUGAACAAAAAGAACAUAAAGGCUUGUCUCAGUUUUGCCAGAAAACAUCUUGAUGAUCCACUUUUGGGAAAAUACUCUGUGGAUUGAUGAGACAAUAGUUGAACUUUUUGGAAGGUGUGUGUCACAUUACAUCUGGCGUAAAAGUAACACCGCAUCAUACCAACAGUAAAAUAUGGUGGUGGUACACUGUAAAAAAUCCAACUUACAGUUUGUAUUACAAACUCAGUUUUUAAAGUUAAUUCAACUAUUUAACAUUAAAAAUGUUGAGAUAACACAGAAAAGUAAGUAAAAUAGAAAUUUAGAUCAAUUUGUUUGACCAAAUGAAUAUUUCAAGUUAGAACAACUAACAACUUUAAGUUUGUUAUUAGUAUUGCCCACAAAGGCUGAUGAGCAUGCGCAGUUUGAUCACUUUUUUUUUUUAUAUACAACGCCAUUUUCAUUUCUCCUGCUUCAUUUUCGAGUUUCCUCAAGCAGUGUCCGUUUAUUCCGUCAUUGUGAUCGCUCCGGUGGCGGCUAGUUAGUCAGUUCAAUUUUCCCGCCUGGUCUUAUGAGUUACCUCAGGUCAGACGUCGCCUAUCUUUUUCUGCCUGACAGUAGUUGCCUCAGGCGGCGCCCGGUUAAUGUUGGUACGUCAUUGUUAUCACUCCGGUGGCGGCAAGUUAGUCAUUUCAAUUAUCCUGCUUCGUCUUCGAGUUGCCUGAGAAGGAUCGAGUUUCCUCGGGUCAGACGAGCGCAAGGUUUUUUCUUUUUUCUCGACAGUACAUUGCUUUGGCAGGUGAUUCCAAGCUGGUCAGUUCAACUUCUCCUACUUCUUCGAGCUGUCUUAAGUCAUUCAGUGGCAGUUUUUCCAGACAGUGUCAUGACUUACAGUAGGGUGAUGCAGUGCAAGAUAUGCAGAUUUGAACACCCUGCCCAGGAGGUCCUUUUGAAACAUGACCAAUUGUGCCACUACCAGGGAAGAUACCGCCAACUACCCUGCCUCUACACAGAUUGCAUCUGCUCCUUUAAAACCACUGGUUGAAGUCUCACCUUUUAAGAUCACACAAGUGCUUAUCUUCACGUGAGAGUCACUUAACAUUUAAUUGUGAAUUGUGUGACUUUAAGGAAAUUUGUAAAACACCUGAUUACUGCAAACAUGUAAGCAGCCAUUUAAAAAAAUCAUGAAACUCUUUGUUGCUAUGCACACACUUUUAUCGCCAUUGCAAUUAAUUUUAUAUUGAUUUUGAUAGAUAUGAAGGACAGAUAUGAAAGCCAAUACAUUUUUGACUGGACCUAUUGUUAUUGUUGCACAUUAUUUUGGACUUGAAUUGAUAGUUUUAUUUGAUGCUUUCCCAAUUUAAUCCGUUGUAUAGAAGUUUUUACUUUUGCAACUCAAAUGUGACAUAAGCUCUUAACUUGAACAGACUUUUUUUUAUUGUAAUUAUUUAAUUUAUUGUAUUGCAAAUGAAAUUACUUGAUUUGGUUUGUGAUUUAAAUUUGCAAAAUCAAACUUUUGUGUCAAAAAAAUUGUGAUUCUUGUUUCAAAGAUUUGUUGAGGCCCAAUGUUGUACUGAGUAGCAUUUAAUAAAUUAACUCAUAUUGGAUUGACA